GUAUAAUCACAGGGUCAUACAAUAACUUCUUCCGGAUCUUUGAUCGUAACACGAGACGUGAUGUAACAUUAGAAGCUUCCAGAGAAACGGCCAAAGCUAGGACAGUACUGAGGCCAAGAAAGGUUGGCACAGGUGGGAAAAAGAAAGAAAGAUGAAAUAGGUGUAGACUGUUUAGAUUUUAAUCGAAAAAUUUUACACACAGCGUGGCAUCCAAGAGAAAACAUAAUCGUCGUAGCAGCAACCAAUAACCUUUAUAUCUUUCAAGAAAAGAUGUGAGUGAUCAUGGUGUCCAGUGUUUAAGAUUCCCUUAUCAUAUAAAACUUUUUGAAGGCAUAAGAAAAACUAUUGUAGAUACACGGGUCCCGAGAGAUGUUGAAGAAAUUCUUGAAAUAUAUCAACUAUUAUGGUAUAUAACGCUCUAUGCUAGAGAAACCUGAUCUUUUGAUGAAUGGUUUGUGUGACAUUAAAUCACUGAUACUAUAGGGCUAGUGAAGAGAGAUUUAUAGAAAAUUCUUGUAGUGACAAAAUGUCACAGAAACUAAAGAUCCCGCUUCUCUAGCAUAAGAAGUUAUAAACCAUACUGGUUGAUGUAUCGUAAAUGAGCAAUGUGAAGGCUAUGUUGUAUUUCCAGCUGACCCUACGAGCUUCGGCAUUGAACAAAAAGCCUCAUCAGCAUGACAUGCAGUGCACUGUGUGUGUGAUAAUAAUGCCAUUAUGGUUAUUCUUACUGGAAAUCUAUAGUUUAGGGCGAUUUUUAUAAAUCUAUUAUCAAUUUCAUCGUGAUGUCACACACUAAUCCAGGUGACUUAGAAAGCUUGUAAGUGAUUUGAAUUGUGUGUUGUCCUUUAAUUUUGAGCAAAGAAAACCUAAAAGCUUCUCUUCUCUGGUCCGUGACAGUACUUCUAUCCAAUGUCUGCAGUUGGGCAAGAUGCAGAAGAAGUUCCUGAAACUGUACUGUUGAACCGUGGUGCACACAGAGACUGGUUUCAAGUGGCUGUGGUUUAAGAGUCCUUGGUGGACUGUGCCUUCAUCCCAAUUUAUUGUACACGUUCACCAUCGUAUUGCAAUGUCGUCGGUGUUCACGAGACGUAUGCGUGUCGAUGUAUAUAUAUAUAUAAAUAUAUAUAUAUAUAUAUGUUCCCCUCAUUUGACGUAUGUGAUGCCUGUUAAACGUAGUAACCACUCAUGAUUCUUAAUAUUAGUUAAUUAGAAAGCUUAUAAUACUGGAAAUGACUGCUCAGUGUUCUGAAAAGACAUGAGCCAAAACGUUUUGUCAGUAGUCUGUGUGGGGCUAUGUAUUAAUGGCAUAUUUUUCAGUUUGAAAUCACUGUUGCAGGUUAUCUUGAGUUCACAAGAUCAGGGAAAUAGGGAUCAGUAAAUUCAGCAAGCCGUUAUUUAUACCAAUAUAAUGUUACAAAAUAUAGAAGAAAAAUCAACUUUUUAUGUAGAUAUUAGAUUGUAGAUAAAACUCAUUUCUAAAGAUUAAGCACUGUCUCCAUCGAAAAGGUUAGUUAUAAUAAUGCUUUGGAAUGAAUGGAAAUAUUUUUCCAUUCACUGGUUAUUGUGAAGGAGUCUUCCAGGAUGGUCUCGUCAUUUUACACUAUUUUCACAAUAUAUCAGUAUUAAAUGAGAUACGUCAUUCAAGAUGUUUAGUUUUUAUUUAGUAGCCUGAAGAAAAUUAAUUAAUUCUCGUGAAAUGCUCAAUUUAAUAUUAAUUUUAAGCAUGCUGAGUUAUUUUUUUAGUUAUUAUUUCACAUUUCAGAGAAAUAUGCCUGGAGAUCAAAUUGUACAGGGUUGAUCAUGAAGUAUGAAUAAUUUUCUCAAUUAUUGACUUAACUGAUAAAGGUCCAAACCUUUCAACAGCUUACAAGUUCAGUCUCAUACUUUCACUUUAGAGUAUUAUACAAUAAAGACUUUUCUGAUGAAACACAUCUCCAGUUCUUUCCAGGACGAAGGCUGCUAAAUAAUGAUUGAAUUGAGGUGAUCCUCGACAAGGGAUGUCAUCUUGCAUGUAGGUGUUUGUUCUGUGUGCAUGAAAGGGGAUAAACUAGAACUGUUAGUAAUGUUUGACAUCUUGUAUAAAUACAUUGUUGUGUUAAAGAGAAAACAAUAAAGGUUAAGAAUUAGUGUUGUAA